UGGGGAAUUUUUCGCAAUGGGCGAAAGCCUGACGAAGCAACGCCGCGUGGAGGAUGAAGGCCUUCGGGUCGUAAACUCCUGUCGACCGGGACGAAAGCAGUCUGGCCGAAUACGCCGGGCUGUUGACUGUACCGGUGGAGGAAGCCACGGCUAACUCUGUGCCAGCAGCCGCGGUAAUACAGAGGUGGCAAGCGUUGUACGGAAUUACUGGGCGUAAAGGGCGCGUAGGCGGCCCGAAAAGUCCCGCGUGAAAGCCCCCGGCUCAACCGGGGAACUGCGCGGGAAACUGCCGGGCUUGAGUUCGGGAGAGGGAAGCGGAAUUCCGGGUGUAGCGGUGAAAUGCGUAGAUAUCCGGAGGAACACCAGUGGCGAAGGCGGCUUCCUGGACCGACACUGACGCUGAGGCGCGAAAGCUAGGGGAGCAAACGGGAUUAGAUACCCCGGUAGUCCUAGCUGUAAACGAUGAGUGCUGGGUGUAGGGGGUGUUAACCCCCCCUGUGCCGAAGCUAACGCAUUAAGCACUCCGCCUGGGGAGUACGGUCGCAAGGCU
rnacentral:rRNA from 1 species